UCAACAAGACCUGGGGUGGUCCUCUCAUGAGUACAUCGCAUCCCCGAGCAGUGAUGAAUCUAAGAUUUUUAUUAAAAGGAAAUUCAAAAAAUAAAUACUUAUAUAAUAUUAAAAUCUGAAUUCAAAACUUUAAGAUAAAUUUUUAAUUCUUAAUCACAAGUCAACCUUUAAUUUUGUAUUCAGAAAAUUCAAAAUCACUCAAUUUUUAUUUAUUUAUAUGUAUAAUUCUUAGGUUCAGAUGAAUAUUCAUAUCCGAGACGCGUCCCUGUCUGUGGGUCAUGUUGAUGACUAUUUUUUUUUAUAGAUAAAAAAGAUGACUACUUCACCUUAAUUUGUCAAACACGUAUAGCAUUUGUCUAAUAUUAUUAGAAAGGAAAAUAAAACACACGACUAGAUAUUGUUAAUGUAGAAGACAAGACAAGAGAUAUAGCAGUAUUUAUUUAAUUUAUACAAUGAUUAAAUUGGACAAUCUAGCUAGCCUCGUAAUAUUGGGGGAACAAACAGGGGCCGAGCCAGACAUGGGUUACGGAUGAAAAAUUACACUAUAUAUAUAAAAUUAAACAAUUUUUUUACAUACAUAUUUUUGAACCUCUUAAUUAAAAUUGUGGCUCCGCCAUUCAAAAUAAAGUAAGCACAUAGACAGGGCCAGCAGUAUAUAGAUAGGUGCAGGUAAUAUGAGAAGGACAAAGUAAAUCAAAAAAGGCAGAGAAGAUUGAGAAUGGGUCAUCACUGCUGCAGUAAACAAAAAGUAAAGAGAGGUCUUUGGUCUCCAGAAGAAGAUGAAAAACUCAUUAAACACAUCAACACCCAUGGCAAUUCCUGCUGGAGUUCUGUUCCUAAACUAGCUGGUACUACUUUCUUAAUUCUUCAUUCCCUUUAUGUAAUUAAAAUCUCGAUAACAACAUUUCACUAUAACAACCAUGUUUUCUGUCUCAUUAUAGUUACGUUGUUAUUGACUGUUUCUUUUGCAGGACUACAGAGGUGUGGAAAAAGCUGCAGGCUUAGGUGGAUAAAUUACUUAAGGCCAGAUCUGAAAAGGGGUUGUUUUAGUGAACAAGAAGAAAGGAUUAUAAUUGAUGUACACAGAAUUUUGGGAAACAGAUGGGCACAAAUAGCGAAACAUUUACCUGGUAGAACCGAUAAUGAAGUGAAGAAUUUUUGGAAUUCUUGCAUAAAAAAGAAACUUAUUUCUCAAGGUUUUGAUCCAAACACCCACAAUCUCCUUUCUACUAAGAAAAAAGCCAACAAUAAUUAUACCACAUCAUCAAUUUUCACUAUUGAAACUAGUUUAUCGUCAUCAUCAACGAAAGAGUUGGUUUCAAUGGACCUGAUCAAAGCAAGUCUUGCAGCAUUGUCAACUUUUCCUAAUUACACUAAUAUGCCUCAGUGCCAAACAAGUUUGAGUCGGCUAUAUGGAUCUGUUUGUGUUCCCACCACUACGAAUAUUAUUGGAAACUCAAACUUUGCCAGUACCAUUGAUUACAAAAAGCAGAGUACUAUUAUUAAUGAAAAUUGUAUGUGGUCUAUUACUGGAUUUGAAACUCCACAUCAUGAAUUUGGUAAUGGACAUGAAGAAAUGAAACAAGAGGGACAAGUUCAGGUUGAGGAAAAGAAUUGUCAAGAGGAAGUACUCUACAAGGUUAAUGAUCUUCAUGAGUUCAACAACGAUGGACCACGAAUCGCGGAGAAUGUGACAUUUGAUGAAGGCUCCGACUUUGAUUUUGAGUUCAUGGAUUCUGAAUUGGUGCCGUGUGGAAUUUUCACUAACAUAAAUUCUAUAGAUCAGCUUGCAUGGAAUUGUUAAUUGAAGUAGUUGUUAAAAAAAAAUUUUAAAAAGUUUUCAGUACUAUACAAAUGUUGCAUGUUAUUUAUUUGAUUUCUGUUGCAUUAUCAUGUUGGUUCAGCAGAAUUUUUAAAGAGAAAAUGGUAGUUGUCAUAUUUUGGUACUUUUUUUUUUAAUGUGUACAUAUAAUAUGAGCUAUUUUAAAGGGAAAAAGAAUGAGUAAUUGAAAAAAUAGUCUAACUUGCAAAAGUGAAAUAACUUAUAAUUUGUGUAUGAUUUAUCUCUCCCUUUCAACUGUGAUAUUCAAUAAAAAGCUCCUUAUACAAGACAUUGACUUAGUCUAGCUCAUCAUAUUAUGCUGGAAAUGUUUUUGUAAUAUUUACCUAGGGAUAGUUUUUUAUCUAAAUUUUAUUUCCGUAUUAAAAAGCGGCUAAGUUUGAAUGAUUUUGAAAUGCUGGCUAAGUUUCAAUUAGCAGUUUGAAAGUUUGGUAUUUGUCAAUUUCACGCAUUGAAGUCUGAAUAUGAAAAAGAAAAAAUACUUAAAUUUUUUUUAUAGUUACAAAAAUAUUAUGCCCCGUUUAAGAAUAUAAGUUUUAUAAUCCAUAAAUAUUAGCACAUGUUUAAAAUUAUAAAUAUAAAAAGUUCUCAUUUCUUUCUUAAAUUCUUGAUGAGUUUAUUAGUAUAUCGCACAAAUUAAAACGGAUGAGGUAACUCUCAAUUAUGGCCUUGGCAAUAUGGAGUAUAUAAAAUGUAUGAAUCCAAGUUUGGGCUCAAUUCAUUCACCGUAGACAACACAACCAUACUAAAAUCUCAACUCCAACACAACACUAGCUUUGUGGUACAAUUUUUUUAGGCUUUCAGCAAUUAGGCCCAAACAUCAGUUACAUUGUUUUUGUCAAAUAUACUCCAUCUGUAUAAUAAUAGUUGUCCAUUAUUGACUUGACACACUCUUUAAUAAAUAAUAAAUAAUAGGGGUAAUACUCCCUCUGCUCCUAAUUACUUGUCCACUUUUAAAUUGACAUAUUAAUUAAGAAAACAAUUAUUGACAUAGUGAGUUUACCAUUUUACCCCUAUUAAUUAUGAAGUGGAUAUAUUAAAAACUUAAGAUUUUCAAAAAGUUCUAUCUUUUUUUCAAAAUAAUUAAUUAAGGGUUUGUCCUUUUUUGAUUUGCCAAAAUGGACAAGUAAUUAGGAACAACGAAAAAAGGAAAAAUAGACAAAUAACUAGGGACAUAGGGAGUAUCACUAUAUUAUCAUCACUAUAUUGUCCUUUGAUUUUAUUAAAUUUAAUGUUUUGAAAAAUGUGUUAGAUGAUAAAUAAUAUUUAAUAGUAAGGAUAAAAUAGACACAAAAGAGAAAAUUAUCUCUUGAUUUUCUAAAUCGAACAAGUAUUGUUGAACAACUAUUUUUAGUAUAAUGAACAAAUAUUGUUAUUGGACGGAGGGAGUAUAUAGAAAACCUUAAAAUUUAUGGCUUUAGUUCUAUCUAAGAAAAGAUCAUGGAUCUGCUUUCAUGUCACUCUUUUAGUCAUUUUUUACUUGUCUAAUUUUGACUUUUUAGUUAUCCUUUUUUACUUGUCAUUUUUAUAAAUGAAGAAAAAAAUUAUUUAGAGAAUUAAUGUUUUUAAAAAAGAUAGAACCUCUUUAAUGAGUAAAUUGAUUUUAGAACUCUAUCAAUUAAUAGAGCUAAAAUAGUAAACUCACUAUAUCAAUUACUCCCUCCGUCCCAUUUUAUGUGAGAUACUUUGACUCGGCACAGAGUUUAAGAAAAAAAGGAAGAUUUUUAAAAUUUGUGGUCCAAAAUGAAUGAUAGAAAUUUGUUAUUAAUAUAGAAAUGUGUCAUUUUUUUUGGAACUGACAAAAAGAAAAGUAAGUCACAUAAAUUGGAACAGAGGGAGUAUUAUUUUUUUAAGGGAAAGGGGUCAAAAAUACCCCUCAACUUUGGUUUAUUGUUUGACUACGCCCUCGCCGUUAAAAUGAAGUUAUUUUUACCCCUCCCGUUACUAAUUUCACCAAAUUUACCCCUCAAUUGGAUGGAAAACCCAAAUCAAUUAAAAUUACCCAAUUUCAAUUAAAUAACCCAAUUUUUUCUCUUUUUAAUCCGAACCCGACCCAUUUAUACCAAAUUAAAACCCCAAAUCAAGCUCCGGCAAUCGCCAUUCAUUUUCUCCGUUUUCCGGCGAAACACCACCAAAACAACCUCCAAACGACCACCUGAAACCACCACUAAAAACCCCCAAGAACCAGAAACGACAUCAAGCAAAAAACAUUAACAACAAACCCAUUUUCUGAUAUUGCAAAGGAAGCAGCAGGGACAGUAGUUAAAGCUAAAGAUAAAGCGUCUAAACUUGUGUUUCAUCCGGUUGAUUUUGCUUCCAACCUGACCACUGUUAAUAAAAACUCUAAAGCAAUAUAUAGCCCUAGUGAGUUUAGGUUCCGCUUUGAUUUUGCUGUUAAGAAUUUUAAGGUCGCUGCACCGGUUAUCCGCUCCGAUCGAUGAUAAGCCAUGUGUACGAUUCAUGCUCAAUUAAUUAACACUACCAUAAGAAAAGAAGAAUCUAAGAUGUAAACCUUGUAGUUUUCUAAGUUUGGUUUGUCUCAAAAUAAUGUAGUUUGUAUUUAGCUAAAUGUAUUAAUGGAAGAGUGACUGUAUUGUAAAAUCAAAUGCUUACACCCUCACUAGGGGUCUAAGAUUGUCCAAUCGUCCCAUCAAAAAUGGAUAAUUUUGAACUUCGAAUGUUCUCUAUUACAUACAUUAAGAACAACAUGUCCAACAAAGAAAAAAUCAAUGGAGAACAAGUUAAAGCAGACAUGUCAAUGAGAAGAAAAAAAACAGAGAAACAGAAAAAAGUUAACUUGGC
rnacentral:lncRNA from 1 species